ACCAUGUAAGAUGUGACUUUGCUCCUCAUUCACCUUCAGCCAUGAUUGUGAGACCUCCCCAGCCAUGUGGUACUGUAGUUUUGUUUCACUCUGAUGCUUCCCUUAACGUGCUUAGCCAGAGUACUUUGGUUAUAAACCACAGUACAUUGUCUUCAACAAGAACGGACUGUCUCAGAGACCCAGGAAAAGGUCUAUGCCAGGUGGAAUGGGGCACAGACUUCUGAGGAAUUGUUAAGAUAAUAUUGACAACAUACCAUCGACUGAGUCAAGAUAUCCAGUAAUCUAGUGAAGAAGCUGAUGAGUUCAUGAAACUGCCAAUUCAAACUCAGCAUAAUUUUAUCGUCUUUCAAGAAGGAGAGAAUGUAAAUAAAUUAGCUAACUUUGGAAUCUUGCAUUCUCAUUUGUUUAGUAGUUAUUUAAAUUCAUUAAAUUGCUUCAUAUAAGUAACCAUUAUUCUUGACUGUAAAAUUAAGUUUUUCUGUGCCUGGCUUAUUUCAAUUAGCAUAAUGUCUUCCUUGGUCAUCCAUGUUAUCACAAAUGGUAAGAUGUUUUUCUUUUGCGAGACUGAUCUUAUUUUCUCAAGAUGACUGACUAGAAACAUCAGAUGCCAGUUCUCAGAAAGAUCAAAGUUACAACUGAAUGGUCAUGAUGUGAACGGAAAGCUAAAGGAAGAGAGCCGGGACUGUUGCAGAGCCCACAGGAAAAAGCUGGGACACAGUAAGGGAAGGUAGCAAGAGUCUGGCAGAGAUUGACCUCCGAGGAGUUUGAAGCCCCACAGAGAGGAUGCAGCAGAGGCUUUCUCCACUGCAGACUAUCACGAAUGCACUUGAAGACAGCCUUUCCAGUGCUAUUCACAGAAACUGCACCCCCGUUGAAAAUGAGCUUGUACCCCACUGGCAUGCAUGAUGGGCAGGGCCCAAUCUCCCCCUCCGUACAUAGAGGAGCAGCAUCCCAGCAACAGAAGGCAGACAAGCCAUGAAGCCUGGUCUGGACUGGAAGAAGAAGCAUUGUCCUGGGGUCAUUUCAGUCCUGGGGUCAUUUCAAAAUAUUCUUCUGCCAGAAGAAUAUUUUCUCUGACCUCAGUAACACUGUGGCCAGAAGUCAAAGGACACUGUCUAUAUGAACUGAAGGUCAUGAGCUCUGCGACAGGGGCACGAUAGGGAAGCAAAUCACAUUCUUCCCUGCCCAGGACUAGAGACAGAUGUAACCCCCCACUUCUUCCCCCAAGACCUCAGUACAUCCCAACACAACUCUCCCUGCCUGCCCCCAUCAGGAUGGGUUGCCUCCACUUAUCAAAGGGCUACCAAAUGUUACUCUUAAGCGCCACCUACUGGAAUGGAGACUGAACUGCAUCACUGAAUAAAAAUCCUGCUGUCCGAAGAGCACAGGGUUAGUGCAUGAGAUAAGCUUCCCGAGACCGCUGCAUUCCCAGACACGCAGGGGAUAGUGUAUUGGCUCAUAUGCCCAACACAUUGCUAAGACAAGCAGCAUUUGAGAAAACCACCACACAUGAUUCCAUAUCUUUGUUACUGUGAAUGUGCUGCAAUGAACAUGGGAAUGCAGAUAACGCAUCAAAAUACUGGUUUCACUUCUUUUGGAUAUAUACCCAGCAGUGAGGUUGCUGGAUCGUAUUUUUAAUUUUCUGGGGAACCUCCAUGCUGUUUUUUAUAACGACUGUACCCAUUUACAUUCCCACCAAUAGUGAACAAGUGUUUUCUUUUCUCCACGUCUCCACCAACACUUAUUAUCUUAUACUUUUUGAUAAAAUACAUUCUACUACGUAUGAGGUGAUAUCUCACUGUGGUUUUAAUUUACAUUUCCCUGAUGGUUAGUGAUUUUGAGAAUUUUUUCAUAUCUGCAUUGGCCAUUUGUAUGUCUUCUUUUAAGAAAUAUCUAAGUCUUUUGUCCAUUUUUAAUUCUGUUAUUUAUUUUCUUGCUAUUGAUUUGUUUAAGUUCCUUAUAAAUUUUGGAUAUUAACCCCUACCAGAUGUAGCAAACUGAAUUCAAUGGCACAUUAAAAGGAUGGUUCACUAUGAUUAGGUGGGAUUCAAGAAUGGAUCACCAUAUGCAAAUCAAUAAAUGUGAUACACCCCAUUAACAGAAUGAAGAACAAAAACCAUAUGAUCAUCUCAAUAGAUGCAGAAAUGCAUUUGACAAAAUUCAACAUUUUUUAUGAUAAAAACUCUCAACAAAUUAGUUAUAGAAGCAAUGUACCUCAACACCAUAAAGGUCAUGUAUCACAAGCCCACAUAACAUCAUAUGCAAUGGUGAAAAGUUAAAGCUUUUUCUCUAAGAUCACACACAGUACAAGUAUGCCCAAUCUUGCUGUUUCUAUUCAACAUAAUAAAGGAAAUCCUAGCCAAAGCGAUUAGGAAAGAGAAACAAUAAAAAACAUCCAACUCACAGAUAAGGGAGUUAAAUUGUUUCUGUUUACAGACAAAAUGAUUAUAUAUAUAUAUAUAUAAUUGUUGGAAAUAAUAAAUGAAUUCAAUAAAGUUUUG